AACACAAAAUUCAAUUUAUUUCAAUUUUGCCCCUCAGACUCUCAGAUGCUUCAUAAAGAGCUUUGAAAAAUUAGAAAAGUUGUGUUACUCUAUGUGGAGUUAUCUUCAUCUUACCACCGCUUUCCUUUAUCUUCGUCUGUGACUUUCUUGUUUCUCUCUCUCGCUCUCGCUCUCUCUGACGUAUAUAAAGGUAGGCCUUUAGGGGGACAUGGCGAUUGCAGUGGCGACUCAACCACACCAACUCAAGCUUAAAUGACAGAUUUUUGGAGCAGAAUUUAGUAUACAUUGGAAAAUUUGCGAAAAAUCUUCAGUUACCUGAGUUCUAAACAGGAGUUAGGGUUGUGGGUUAGGGAUUUCUCAUGGAAAUAUUUUAGAACAAAAUGAGAUGUUGACUUUCUCCAGCUCUGUUAUGAAAAACUUUAUUGAAAAAAAAUAUUACUACUUUUUUUUGGGGUGUAAACUUUUUCUUUUUGUAAACUGGGUUUAUUAGGAUUUUUAACUUCUACAGGGUCUUCUGGCGGCAUAGUGGUGGAUAACCUUAGAUGGACUCCACUGAUUUUCACAUUAGAAAGCCCCUUGGAAGAAGAAAAUCCGGUCAUGUAUAAUAUACAAUGAUAAAUAAUAUAUAAUAGAUGACUAAACUUAUAAUUAGUUUAGCUACUCAACUAAUCAUGCUUUGUUAACUCAAGAUAUUAUUCAUCUGUUGUUGUUUAAUGGAGAUGCCACGCCAUUCUUAUUGCACAUACAUUUUAGAAAGAAAACUAUUUAUCCUCUUCUUCUUUGAAGUUUAGAUUUAUUUGUGAGUUUGAAGUUUGUGUGGAGGUAGUUUAGUAUGUACAGUAUUUAUAGGAGACGGUACAAAACUAUAAUGCAUUGUAUCAACCUUGGGGAGCUUUGAAUACUUUACUAAAAUUGUACGUACUGGAAUACUUUAAAUCUCAACCAAGCUUGGCGGAAAUAAUCAAGCAUUUCAGUGCAAUUCUUCAGGGGGAGUUCACGAUAGGAAGCGACACAUUUAGCAUUCAGAGUACUUACUCUUAAGGGUGAGUAAAUUACAUUAAUUUUAGAGUUUACAAAAUUAAAUAAAGUGUGUAGCCUCUGUAUAUCUAGAAAGUUUAUUAGUUGUCUACUGAAGACAUUUGCUUGCUUUUCUUUUGUUAGUCGUUGCAUAUGUUUCUUUGAUGCUUUAAAGGCUAUAGUUCUAAGGUAGUGUUCUGUCAUAGAAUGAUGUUGCAUGAAGAAACGUGGUAAUAUCUCGAGUCCCUUAUGUAUUAUGUUAAAGCUUGUGUAUCUCUCAUUUUAUCAGUAAUUUGGUAUUUUUAACAAUUGCCAUGCUGCUUUAUAUAAUGCUUAAGCCAGCUGGUUGAGUAU